CCUACGGGUGGCAGCAGUGAGGAAUAUUGGUCAAUGGCCGAGCGGCUGAACCAGCCAAGUCGCGUGAGGGAAGACGGCCCUACGGGUUGUAAACCUCUUUUGUCGGGGAGCAAAGCGAGUCACGUGUGACUCAUUGAGAGUACCCGAAGAAACAGCAUCGGCUAACUCCGUUCCAGCAGCCGCGGUACUACGGAGGAGGCGAGCGUUAUCCGGAUUUAUUGGGUUUAAAGGGUGCGUAGGCUGGCUGUUAAGUCAGCGGUAAAAGCCCGGGGCUCAACCCCGGCGAGCCGGUGAAACUGGCUGUCUUGAGAUGUCGAGAGGUAUGCGGAAUGCGCAGUGUAGCGGUGAAAUGCUUAGAUAUUGCGCAGAACUCCGAUUGCGAAGGCAGCAUACCGGCGGCGAUCUGACGCUGAGGCACGAAAGCGUGGGUAUCGAACAGGAUUAGAUACCCUUGUAGUC
rnacentral:rRNA from 1 species